rnacentral:SRP_RNA from 9 species
GGCCCUGCCACUCCUUGCCGGAGAGAGGAGGCGGAAGAGACUUGCGGGCCGAAACCUGCGAGGCAGGGGAGGAAGCAGUGGUUCUGGGGG